GAUGAACGCUGGCGGCGUGCCUAAUACAUGCAAGUCGAGCGAACAGACGAGGAGCUUGCUCCUUUGACGUUAGCGGCGGACGGGUGAGUAACACGUGGAUAACCUACCUAUAAGACUGGGAUAACUUCGGGAAACCGGAGCUAAUACCGGAUAACAUGUUGAACCGCAUGGUUCAACAGUGAAAGACGGUCUUGCUGUCACUUAUAGAUGGAUCCGCGCCGCAUUAGCUAGUUGGUAAGGUAACGGCUUACCAAGGCAACGAUGCGUAGCCGACCUGAGAGGGUGAUCGGCCACACUGGAACUGAGACGCGGUCCAGACUCCUACGGGAAGCAGCAGUAGGGAAUCUUCCGCAAAGGGCGAAAGCCUGACGGAGCAACGCCGCGUGAGUGAAGAAGGUCUUCGGAUCGUAAAACUCUGUUAUUAGGGAAGAACAAAUGUGUAAGUAACUAUGCACGUCUUGACGGUACCUAAUCAGAAAGCCACGGCUAACUACGUG
rnacentral:rRNA from 1 species